rnacentral:lncRNA from 10 species
CUUUCCCGGCCAAGAAACCUCCCCCGCUGGGGAGCGCGGCCCGCCGCCCUCACCUGAGCCCCGGCCAGCUGAGCCCGCUACCCGCUCUCCCGCCGCGAUCCGGCCCAGCCGCCAGGUGAGCGCCGUCCCCUCCCACGCUCCCCGCCCCCUGCGGCGGCCGGGCCCUCCCGGCGGCAGAGGAGGGUCGUGGCCUUGGCACGUGCUGCCGCUUCCCCCCGGCGGAGUUCGGCCCCGCUCCGCCCGGCUUCCAGCUAAAGAAGUCACUUUCAAGAGAUCUGGAGAAGUAAGAUGGCCAAAUAAAAGCCUCUACCAAUCAUCCUCCCCACAGGAACACCAAAUUUAAGAACUAUCUACACAAAAAAGCACCUUCAUAAGAACCAAAAAUCAGAGAGAACAAGGAUAAAGAAGUAUCCAAAUACAAAGAAAAUGUUAUGCAAGUGACCUUUAGAGAUGUUUUAAAGAUGACAAAAUAUUGAUGAAGAUGGGCCAACAAGUGUUACUGUUACCUCUAAUAAAGUUUCAUCACUAGUUUCACCAUGGUUAAUUGGAAAUGGCUUCCGCCCAUCUGUGGAAAACAGACAAACAAUUGAAUGCUUAGCUGUUUUUACAGGAUAAUGUGCUUUCAACUUCCAUUUUCCUCUUCCCCCAGUGAGGCAAGAAAAGUUAAAAGCCAUUUUCAAUAAUAUAUCCUAAAACAAAUGUUUUAAUGUGCUACCAUGAAUAUUUUUUAUUAAAGGUUAUUAGUUAGAACUUUGCUUCCAUAUUUGAAAGCCUAAAUUAUCUUCAUGAACGGAAUUUAUUACAAUGCUGGCUUUCGUUUCCUGAAAAUAAUACGCAAAAUUAUUGUCAGUUUUUUAAAAAUUAUCACCCCAGCUUUUAUCCUUGGAAAUUAAAAAAAUUUCUUUUUUCACUUUAAAUAGGAAGAUCUCAAGUAAGACAGACAUGUUUAAAACAAUGAAAGGGAGCUACACUGUCAUGGCUUAUACAAUACUACUAUUAACUGUGUACUAUCAAUGCAGUAAUAUAGAGGAAUAAUCCAAAUAACCCAGGGUUAUUUUACUGACCACCAAAAUAAGCAAAUUCACAAUCAACUUAAAUAAACUAGUACUUUUUCAAUAUUAUUUUUUAAGAAGUCCAGAAUUAUUUAAACUCAUGCUAACCCAAAGUCAACUGACAAUUAUAUAUCCAAAUCCAUAAUCUCAGAUGUCUUGUAAGUGGCUCUUCAUUAAGUUCAAUCCAUAAAACACAGCCCCUUCUACGAUUCCAUGGUUUCUAACCAUAAUAAAAAUUUCUGAAUAUGCAUCUAGUAAUAGACUUGGUUGUUAGAUUUUUUUUAAAAAAAUGAAUGAAAAUCAACACAUAAAUUCAUCUCCAUAAAAAGUAAUAUUAAUUUCUAUAAAUUAUAUCAUCAGAAUUUGUGAUUCCUAUUUUUGGACUAACAUUGAGAUAAAUAUUCAAAAUCCUAAAGAAACUUAUCCCUAAAUUACAAUGCCUGGGACAUAAUUCCUAAAGUUUCUAAGAACCUUUAGGAAAUAUUUUCCUGUAACUAUAUUACACAUGAACACUUAAUUAUCCAUAUUUCUAUGAACUUAUACUAUCUUUCUAAAUUAUAAUGUAUAUUUCUCAAUAAUAUAUCAUAAAAUGUCUUCUUAAAAUAUCCUUUUGUGGUAAAUGCUUAUUCUUCAAUAGACUAUUCUAUGUUUAUAUGACUAUCACAUUCAUUAUGUGCCACCCCAUUUUGUAUUAUUUUUUAAUGUUUACAUAAAGGCAAAAGUAUAAGUAAACAAUGUAGGCUGUUCCCUCCCUAACCAAAUUAUAAAUUAAUAUAUAUUUUUUCCUUUUGUAUUUUUCUUUCUUCUAUUUAAUUUAGAGACAGGGCCUCACUUAUAUUCCCCAGGCUGAACUUAACCUCCUGCGUUCAAGCAAUCCUCCUGCCUCAGCUUCCCAAGUAGCUGGGACUGCAGGCACAUGCAACAGCACCUGGCUUAAUAUAUGUAUUUUCCUGGUUUCCAUCAUUUCUGUGUGUGUGUCAUUCAUGAGACUAAAGAGCUAAUAAACUCAGUUAUGGCUGGGUGUGGUGGCUCACACCUGUAAUUUAAGAAGAUUGCUUGAGGCCAGGAGUUCAACACCAGCCUGGGCAAUACAGUGAGACCCCACCUUUACAAAGAAUUAAUAAAUUAGCCAGGUAUAGUGGCACAAGUCUGUAGUCCCAGCUGUUUGGGAGGCUGAGGCAGGAGGAUCACUUGAGCCCAGGAGUUCAAGGACGCAGCAAGCUAUGAUCAUGCCACUGCACUCCAGCCUGGGUGACAAAGUGAGAUUCUGUCUCUAAAAAAAUAAAAUAAUAACAUAAUAAAAUAAAAACAAAAAAUGGCAGUGAGCAAUUUUCCUUUGAAUGCAGCUGUUUAAAGUAACAUAUAAUUAAUUUCAAUUAUUAUAGACUAAGAUUGUUAAACAACUGAUCCUGAAAUGUCAAAACCGUACAGUCUAUUUUUAUAAUAGCAGUAUAGAACAAAGAUUAAUUAUGAUUUUUACUGUUAUUCUAAUCCAUGGGCCAAAUCCAGCCCUCAGUGUAUUUUUAAUGCCUCCUUUAAGCUAAGACUGGUUUUUAUGUUUUUAAAAGACAGUAUGUAGCCCACAAAACCUAAAAUAUUUACUACUUGGUCCUUCACAGAAAAAUUUUGCCAAAACAAUAAAAUGUAAAAUUUGCUGUUGUUCCAAACACUACUACCACAAAACUGUCACUUGCCAACAACUUUGCGUGUAAUUUCAGUAAAUGCAUACGCUGCAGAUGAAUCCAUGAGGCUCAGAGACUGUCACACUUACAGGCCCCUUCUAAAAGAGGCAGGAAAAAGCUGCACCUUGUACAUGGGUCAUGUAACCUAAAAACCCCAGUCCAAACGGGCUGUGCCACUUCCAGGCUGGACGGGGAAGAAAAUAGUGGCCUGACUUUUUGGUAGUAACUAACCAAUUCAUUCAGAACUUGUUUUUUGCAUAGUGUGAUCACAAGCCCCCAGAGAAAGGUGACAACAGAGUUGUACAAGAGACAAGCGACAUGACAAACAUCACGAGAUGCUUUUUGGUGCAGAUAACUGAGUAUCAGCUACUGUCAAAUACCCAACAAUGGCCAACGACGUGAAUGAUGGAGCUUAAAAAACAGAGACUAUACAGAAAUAAAAACUGUUUUACUGGUUUUGUUUUUGUUUUGUUUUUGUUUUUGUUUUUUUUGAGACAGAGUCUCGCUCUGUCGCCCAGGCUAGAGUACAGUGGCACAAUCUCAGCUCACUGCAAGCUCUGCCUCCCGGGUUCACGCCAUUCUCCUGCCUCAGCCUCCCGAGCAGCUGGGACUACAGGCACCCACCACCACACCCAGCUAA